AGGGGUCGCUCUUAAAUAAACAACGUAAAUUCGUAUUGGUAAUUUUACCACUGACAAGUACCAUUGUAAUCCGCUAGGCGGCAUUUUUGACACGUGGCGAAAAAUAUGCGAUACAGUCUGAUAAUCGACUGCACGGAUGGCAGCCAUUGAAUUGUUUUCUGGACCGUACUGUGAUGUUUGUUGGAGCAAAGUGGAGAAAGUAUGCAAUACAGGGUUGAAUCGCAUAACAUGACAUCGAUUCAAUGGCUCGAGAAGAAAAGAUGGGGAAAACAUCACCAAAGCAUUCAGUCCAGGGAAACAGGUGGCAGAUAUGAGGAAUUCAGCUGGACACUUGACUGGCACAAACAUCCACCAAGAGACAAAACAUGGUCCCCCUCCUGGCCUGGAAACUCCAUCCUGAUGUCGACUGCUUCUUGUCGAUGCCUUCGAGAUGGGAUCCUGGUAGCAUCCACCAGACUCCUUUGCAGGCUCAGAGGAGAUCGGCCAAAAAAGGAUGUUACUGACCAAGGGAGUUAGCUGGCCAUUAAAUGAGGGGCAGUGCAGCAGGCUAAUUUCAAACAAAAUUGAGUCUGAUAAGGCUGAUUACAUACAUACUGAUUGCCUAUACAAUUUUGUUUUGUUUAAGUUUUGACAGAGAUCGAAUCCACAGUUUUAUCAUAUAUAUGUGAUGAAAGCUCCUUGGUUGUUUUGAUAUGAGAUUUGUCUAUUCUAUUAUUCAUGACUUAAAGUUA